rnacentral:piRNA from 1 species
UAUGUCUGUAUAGCAUAUAUGCCUAGUGCCC